UACAGUUCAAAAACGUAUGAUAAAAAUGUAAACACACACACACACACACACACACACACAUAAACUGUUGGAUCUCAGUGACGUCUACAGCAGCGUAAUGACAGAAUCAAAUGUGAGGAAAAAAAACCCCAGAAAACGAAGUGUCCGGGUGUUUAAAGAGAAACAAAUUUAGACCCUGGUGUUUACCUUUGUCUCUGGAGUUUUGAGGACAGGAGACGUUUCCUCUCUGUGUUACUGUCCUAAUGUGCCAUGACUCUGUGUGUGAAGUAUUUCCUUCUACAACUUUGAUGUCUUUGUCUUCACAGGGCCAAAAUGAUGACGGUGAUAAGGUGAGAGGAGACUCAGUAAAAACGUCCGUCCAGAGAGAGAGUCUGUGAAGGAAAAACUACAUGAACGUAAUCAAGUGACAGAGACCACAGAUGUAACGAACUGCCAAAGAUUCACACACAGCUGAUGGAAGAUGAACUCGACGAUGUACGAUAGUGUGUGUGUGUGUGUGUGUUCUGUUUAAUUGUACAUUAGGGUUUUAAAUUUUUAAAUGAUAUAUAUUCCUAACCAGAGUCUGAAACAAUUAUAUGUUGUAUAUAAUUUCCAUUGUACUUUUGUGUAUACUUUAUUUUGUGGUUUGACUUAUAUUAUAUUGUACUAUACAGAUGGAUGUACCGUUUUUUUCUACUUUAAUAUUCUAGCAUUUUCUUUGUGCAUUUUACACUGUGCAGAUGUUGUACUUUGUAGCAUGUCUGCUUCUCUGAUUUCUGUUAGAGUUGACACUUUGUUAGACAGUGAUUCGGUAUAGUUUCUGCUCCUCUCUCUCCUCUCUCCUCUCCUCUCUCCUCUCUCCCCUCUCUCCCCUCGGUGCCGUCUCGCAGACCUCCAUUCCUCCUCUUGUGUCGGAGAAUGUGAGCAGCUGCAUGAAGGAAGUCCUCACGUGG